AGAAGGGGAAGUCUCCACCUCUCAAAGUGUCCCAUUCCACUUUUGGAUAGCUCUAAUGUUUCUAAAGAUUCAAUGGAAUGCUGUAGCUCAGGAAUCGGAAAACUAGAGCCCAAGGGACAAAUCUGGCAGCUGUUGAUUUUUAUAAGGUCACUGGCUCAGGAUGAAUACAUAUUAACCUGGGGUCCACUGGUCUAUGGAUUGAUUUCAGAGAUCCUAUGAAUGUAGAUGGAAAAGAAGAGAUCAUCUGUUGCCCAGACCAUGGACUCCAAGCCAUUCCAGUCAUGUUGGAUGGGACAGAGCCUAUAUUCUGCUGCCCUGAACUCAGAGAGCCCAAGGUCACCGUGAUGAAGGCAUGUGAGGUGGGCUAGGGGAAGAGUCUGAUGGUGAAACGAG